UUGCGCCACAUCAGGAUCCAUGCCAAUUUCUCUAUACCUAAUUAGAUUUGAGUUGUAAUUUUUGAUAUUAUGAGAGAAGAUCCAAUAAGGAUGGUUGGCUAUAGCUGAUGAGUCAUAAUAUUAUCUCUUGCCUAAUUCAAAUGCGAUCCGAAUUAGAGAUAAGAUGCAGAUUAGGAAAGGAAUUUUUCAUAUAUGGUAUAUU
rnacentral:lncRNA from 1 species